rnacentral:rRNA from 1 species
UCCAGACUCCUACGGGAGGCAGCAGUGAGGAAUAUUGGUCAAUGGGCGCGAGCCUGAACCAGCCAAGUCGCGUGAGGGAUGACGGCCCUACGGGUUGUAAACCUCUUUUGUCGGGGAGCAAAUUCCGUUACGUGUAACGGAGUCGAGAGUACCCGAAGAAAAAGCAUCGGCUAACUCCGUGCCAGCAGCCGCGGUAAUACGGAGGAUGCGAGCGUUAUCCGGAUUUAUUGGGUUUAAAGGGUGCGUAGGCGGACUGUCAAGUCAGCGGUAAAAUUUCGGGGCUCAACCCCGUCGUGCCGUUGAAACUGACGCCCUUGAGUGAGUGAGAAGUAAGCGGAAUGCGCGGUGUAGCGGUGAAAUGCAUAGAUAUCGCGCAGAACUCCGAUUGCGAAGGCAGCAUGCCGGCUCCACACUGACGCUGAGGCACGAAAGCGUGGGUAUCGAACAGGAUUAGAUACCCGAGUAA